rnacentral:rRNA from 1 species
UACGUAGGGUGCGAGCGUUAAUCGGAAUUACUGGGCGUAAAGCGUGCGCAGGCGGCUUUGCAAGACAGAUGUGAAAUCCCCGGGCUCAACCUGGGAACUGCAUUUGUGACUGCAAGGCUAGAGUACGGCAGAGUGGGAUGGAAUUCCGCGUGUAGCAGUGAAAUGCGUAGAUAUGCGGAGGAACACCAAUGGCGAAGGCAAUCCCCUGGGCCUGUACUGACGCUCAUGCACGAAAGCGUGGGGAGCAAACAGG